UACGGAGGGUGCGAGCGUUGUCCGGAAUCACUGGGCGUAAAGGGCGCGUAGGCGGCCUGAUAAGUAGGGGGUGAAAUCCUGCGGCUUAACCGCAGGGCUGCCUUCUAAACUGUCAGGCUUGAGCACAGUAGAGGCAGGUGGAAUUCCCGGUGUAGCGGUGGAAUGCGUAGAGAUCGGGAGGAACACCAGCGGCGAAGGCGGCACUCUGGGCUGGAACUGACGCUGAGGAGCGAAAGCGUGGGUAGCAAACAGG
rnacentral:rRNA from 1 species